GACGAACGCUGGCGGCGUGCUUAACACAUGCAAGUCGAACGGAAAGGUCCUGCUUUUGUGGGGUGCUCGAGUGGCGAACGGGUGAGUAACACGUGAGUAACCUGCCCUUGACUUUGGGAUAACUUCAGGAAACUGGGGCUAAUACCGGAUAGGAGCUCCUGCUGCAUGGUGGGGGUUGGAAAGUUUCGGCGGCUGGGGAUGGACUCGCGGCUUAUCAGCUUGUUGGUGGGGUAGUGGCUUACCAAGGCUUUGACGGGUAGCCGGCCUGAGAGGGUGACCGGCCACGUUAGGACUGAGAUGCGGCCCAGACUCCAACGGGAGGCAACGGUGGGGAAUAUUGCACAAUAGGCGGAAGCCUGAUGCAGCAACGCCGCGUGCGGGAAGACAGCCUUCGGGUUGUAAACCGCUUUCGCCUGUGACGAAGCGUGAGUGACGGUAAUGGGUAAAGAAGCACCGGCUAACUACGUG
rnacentral:rRNA from 1 species